UUGGCGGCAAGAUAGCCCCUUAGAGGAACCUGCCCUGUAAACGAUGAACCACGAGGGACUCUACUUUCUUUGGUAGUCAGUUUGUAUAUCGCUGUUGUCAGUUAGAUUCUUGAGAAUAUUUUCGUUUAUGAAAAGUUCAUUGACUUCAAGUAAAGGUGCAGCUUAUAAGGAAGAUAGAGGUGGGUUACAUUUAUGAGAAUAAAACGGAAAGGAUGGAUGAAACAAUCCUUGAAGGUGGAUUUAACUGUAAAACUUAAGUAGGUUUGGUGAGAGCUCUAUCUUGUGUACACA
rnacentral:rRNA from 1 species